CAACUGUGCCAGCUGCCAGCACCGCAGCCAGCGGCGAGCACCCCGGCAAAUAGGGGCACCAAAAUUCAGAGCCUAAGGCCGAGGGUGAAAAUUUUGCCAGGAAUUACCUGAAAAAUGCUUCUGUUAAAAAAAGGGUGUAUUUGAGAACUGCUUUUAGGUCUCGACUUUGCCCUGUUGUUUACUCAAUGCUCAAGGCAAGGUUUAUAAAAUACUUUUUAUUGGACUAUCUGCAUUUCUUGGCAAAAAAAAGCUAAGCUUUGGGGCAAACAAAACCUUCAGACUUGUGCAGCUGUGGAAAGAUGUAAUGGGUACCUAAAUUACAGAAUCUCCUCUCCGUGCUGCCACACAGGCUUGGUAUAGGACUUGCAAACUGUUGCUACAUAGGGAAUAUCCCUGGGGAGCAGACUGGGGGAGUUCGAGGUAUACAAGACAUUCACCGACUUUGGAAACAUCCCAGAACUGUAGUUGGAAGAGUAGCAGGUUAUGCUGUGAAAGAAGCAGAAUAGGAACAUUUUCCAAAAUUCCAAUGAGAUCAUCCUCUACACUCUGCUGA
rnacentral:lncRNA from 1 species